GUCAGGAAAGUAAUACCAUUUAGUGUGAGAACUGAAUAAAACAGAUUUACAAUGUCUAUAUUUUGUAUCCAUUGAUCGAUAUUUAGUAUAUCUAAUAACUUUCGGUGCAGGAAAUGAAUGCUUGUACUCCAUUGGCUGUUGCUAAGAUACUGCGGUGAAAUGAAUGCUGGCUCGCCAUUGGCUGUUGCUAAGAUACCGCCGUCAAACAAACGGACCGUUGCAGGUGACGGUGGAGGAGUCCAUGCAAGGCCACAGCCAGCUCGAGGCCUCUUUCACAGGGACACCUCGACACCCAGCUAGGAGGAGCCGGGGAUUGAACCAGCAACCUUCUGGUCACCAGCCGACCCACUCCCAUGAUCCCAUCCUGAGCCAAAUGCCGCGGAAAGUGUUACAGUGUUCGCUUACUGCUGUCAAACCCGUUGAACAGGCGAACGCUUCCUCCUGAGGAAGAACCAGAGCCACAAUCUGUCAGGUUUAAAACAGAAGGUGGCCCGCUGAAGGAAAGACUCAACACCGAAGUCGGUUUAAAAGACGUCAAUAUGUCAGGAAUGCCCACGUUUGGUACUGUGACCGAUAGAGGGCGACAGAGCCCAAGGAAAGCCACGAGUCAUCUCUCGGCGUACGUGAACUCCACCAAACCCAGGCAGAGGGGCCCGGUCACCAUGGAGAACCUCAAAAGCAAGUCACACACGACCAGUUGAACCAGGCAGAAUGUAUUGCAGACUGGUAACCCUG